rnacentral:rRNA from 1 species
UACAGAGGGGGCAAGCGUUAUUCGGAAUUAUUGGGCGUAAAGGGCGCGUAGGCGGUUUCUUAAGUCAGAUGUGUAAUCCCCGAGCUUAACUUGGGAGCUGCAUCUGAGACUGGGAGGCUAGAGUACUGGAGAGGGUGGUGGAAUUCCUCGUGUAGCGGUGAAAUGCGUAGAGAUGAGGAGGAACACCAGUGGCGAAGGCGGCCACCUGGACAGUAACUGACGCUGAGGCGCGAAAGUGUGGGUAGCAAACAGG